AUUGAACGCUGGCGGCAGGCCUAACACAUGCAAGUCGAACGAGUGGCGGACGGGUGAGUAAUGUCUGGGAAACUGCCUGAUGGAGGGGGAUAACUACUGUAAACGGUAGCUAAUACCGCCUACCCCCCGAUGUGCCCAGAUGGGAUUAGCUAGUUGGUGGGGUAACGGCUCACCAAGGCGACGCGCCCUAGCUGGUCUGGGAGGAUGACCAGCCACACUGGAACUGAGACACGGUCCAGACUCCUACGGGAGGCAGCAGUAGGGAAUAUUGCACAAUGGGCGCAAGCCUGAUGCAGCGAUGCCGCGUGUAUGAAGAAGGCCUUCGGGUUGUAAAGUACUUUCAGCGGGGAGGCGUUACCCGCAGAAGAAGCACCGGCUAACUCCGUGCCAGCAGCCGCGGUAAUAC
rnacentral:rRNA from 1 species